UACGUAGGGUCCAAGCGUUAUCCGGAAUCACUGGGCGUAAAGCGUGCGUAGGUGGCGCGUUAAGUGUGAUGUUAAAUCGCGGGGCUCAACCCUGUCGAUGCAUCGCAUACUGGCGUGCUAGAGGGAAGCAGAGGCAAGUGGAAUUGGUAGUGUAGCAGUUGAAAUGCGUAGAUAUUACCAGGAACACCAAUGGCGAAGGCAGCUUGCUGGGCUUCUUCUGACACUGAGGUACGAAAGCGUGGGGAGCGAACAGG
rnacentral:rRNA from 1 species